rnacentral:rRNA from 1 species
GUAGNNUGCAAGCGUUGUCCGGAAUUAUUGGGCGUAAAGAGCUCGUAGGCGGUCUGUCGCGUCGGCUGUGAAAACUCGGGGCUCAACCCCGAGCCUGCAGUCGAUACGGGCAGACUAGAGUGCGGUAGGGGAGACUGGAAUUCCUGGUGUAGCGGUGAAAUGCGCAGAUAUCAGGAGGAACACCGGUGGCGAAGGCGGGUCUCUGGGCCGUAACUGACGCUGAGGAGCGAAAGCGUGGGGAGCAAACAGGAUUAGAUACCCUGGUAGUCCACGCCGUAAACGGUGGGUGCUAGGUGUAGGCGGUAUUCCACGCCGUCUGUGCCGCAGCUAACGCAUUAAGCACCCCGCCUGGGGAGUACGGCCGCAAGGCUA